AGUCGAGUGAUGUUGCGCGGAAAAUUCAACGGGGCUAAGCAUACAACCGAAGCUUGGGCAGUAGUAAUACUGGGUAGGGGAGCGUUCUGUACGGGCAGAAGCAUCAGCGGAAGCAGAUGUGGACUGUACAGAAGUGAGAAUGCCGGAAUGAGUAGCGAGAAUUGUGUGAGAAUCAUAAUGGCCGAAAAUCUAAGGUUUCCGGGGGUAGGGUCGUCCACCCCGGGUUAGCCGGGAGCUAAGGCGAGGCCGCGAGGCGUAGUCGAUGCACAAACGGUAGAGAUUCCGUUGCCGCCAGAUCUUAAGUAACUGACACGAGGGUAGAGUUCAACCCGGCCGAUGGUAGAGCCGGGCGAAAGGGACUGAAGAAUAGUAGGGAAGUGAACGAAGCCAGCGGCGAGAAAAGGUUAUGUAUGAAAUCAGGCGCCCGUACCGCAAACCGACACAGGUAGAUGAGGAGAGGAUCCUAAGGCCAGCGGGAGAAGGGUUGUUAAGGAACUCGGCAUAUUGACCCCGUAACUUCGGAAGAAGGGGUGCCUCCGUAAGGAGGCCGCAGUGAAAAGGCCCAGGCAACUGUUUAUCAAAAACACAGGUUUCUGCAAAAGCGAAAGCUGAAGUAUAGGAGCUGACGCCUGCCCGGUGCUGGAAGGUCAAGGGGAUCGCUUAGCGCAAGCGAAGGCGAGAACUUAAGCCCCAGUAAACGGCGGCCGUAACUAUAACGGUCCUAAGGUAGCGAAAUUCCUUGCCAGGUAAGUUCUGGCCUGCACGAAUGGCGUAAUGAUCUGGGCACUGUCUCAACAGCCCGCCCGGCGAAAUUGUAGUACCGGUGAAGAUGCCGGUUUCCUGCGACUAGACGGAAAGACCCCAUGGAGCUUUACUGUAGUCUGAUACUGAAAUUUGGUUCAUUAUGCACAGGAUAGGUGGGAGACAGAGAAACCCGGGCUUUGGCUUGGGCGGAGUCGCCGUUGGGAUACCACUCUUGAUGAACCAAGUUUCUAACCUGCUCCCGUGAUCCGGGAGGGGGACAAUGUCAGAUGGGCAGUUUGACUGGGGCGGUCGCCUCCAAAAGAGUAACGGAGGCGUUCAAAGGUUGGCUCAGCGCGGACGGAAAUCGCGCAAUGAGUAUAAACGUAUAAGCCAGCCUAACUGUGAGACCUACAAGUCGAGCAGUAACGAAAGUUGGAGUUAGUGAUCAGGUGGUAGUGAGUGGAAAUGCCAUCGCUUAACGGAUAAAAGCUACCCUGGGGAUAACAGGCUGA
rnacentral:rRNA from 1 species